GACGAACGCUGGCGGCGUGCUUAACACAUGCAAGUCGAACGGAAAGGCCCUGCUUUUGUGGGGUGCUCGAGUGGCGAACGGGUGAGUAACACGUGAGUAACCUGCCCUCGACUUUGGGAUAACUUCAGGAAACUGGGGCUAAUACCGGAUAGGAGCUCCUGCUGCAUGGUGGGGGUUGGAAAGUUUCGGCGGUUGGGGAUGGACUCGCGGCUUAUCAGCUUGUUGGUGGGGUAGUGGCUUACCAAGGCUUUGACGGGUAGCCGGCCUGAGAGGGUGACCGGCCACAUUGGGACUGAGAUACGGCCCAGAGUCCUACGGGAGGCAGCAGUGGGGAAUAUUGCACAAUGGGCGGAAGCCUGAUGCAGCAACGCCGCGUGCGGGAUGACGGCCUUCGGGUUGUAAACCGCUUUCGCCUGUGACGAAGCGUGAGUGACGGUAAUGGGUAAAGAAGCACCGGCUAACUACGUG
rnacentral:rRNA from 1 species